AUCUCUACAAGUUGCUCCUUCAUGAGGGCAUCGGGUCGUGGGUUGGCAUUGUAGCACGUUCUAUUUUGUGAAAAAGAAAAGAUGAUGUAUGUUUUGCCUUCGCGGACGAAACACGUGCAAUUUUCAUCUAGAAAUUGGCGACAUUCCUGACACUUGAGACACGCCGCAUGCCAUUCGAGAUCCGGUGCAACUCGUAGAAUAUGACGAUCGUGAAUUUGACCACCACAUCCCACGCACAGGGAUAAUCGUUGUUUCUCUGCAAGCCAAAAAAAAUGGAAUUUAUCAGUUUUGGCCUAUAUCUUCUCACAUUGUGCCAUGGGGAGACCACAAAAAAGUGGCAAAUUGUAUAUAAUGGAGAAGUUGGAAGAACAAUUCCUCGCAGAAUGGAGCAAGAGAAAACCGGCAUCGACAGACAAAAAGAUAAAAAUACUAUUGGAAUUGGCAAAUGCUGCCGCGUGGUUGCGAUGUGUGUGAAUUAUUCAUUAGGGCGGAGCGCUAUUUCUUGUUAUGUAGCAGAAGAAGCAUACACACCGCACUGAUCCCGCCUAGAAGUAAAAAAAAACGUCUCGUCACACAGCCCAGGGAAUCGCGUCCAAAAAUCUUGUGUGUGUCUUCCCCCGACAAAGGUUCUCAAACAGACAUCUAUUCGACACGAAAUUGAUGGUACGAUAAGGAAAUCGUGGCACAUAAUUGUUCAUCAGACGAUUUACAGACCUUCCACAAAUUGGCGUAUUUCAUUUUUAGUUACUUCUGGCGCCCUUCUUGGUGUCACUGUCGUCGUACACCGAAGAAAUGUCUUCUCAGAAUGAAAACGAAAGCCAAGAAUAAGACUUCAUUCCUUAAAUGGCGCCAUUUACUCACUUCCUGUCCCUGUGCCAAAACUGCACAGCCACAGUGUCUUGGAAAUUCCUGUGUGUGGUCAUCUGUGGAAAUUCCAUUCAUUACUUUAUCACCGGUGUGUCGUGUCAUAAAAAUAGCAUCAUCUCCACCCAUUGUCUGGACCCCUGCUGCUGACUGAGCCAUUCAAUUCGCCUCCAGACUCCAACUAUUGGUGCGCAGCAUUAAGUCCAUCAAUGUGCGGGGACUAGGAAAAAAGAAAAAAAAUAAAGCACAGAAAUCUCCUUCUUGAACGGCUUCUUUAUUCCC